rnacentral:rRNA from 1 species
UAAGCAUAUCAAUAAGCGGAGGAAAAGAAACUAACAAGGAUUCCCCUAGUAACUGCGAGUGAAGCGGGAAAAGCUCAAAUUUAAAAUCUGGCGGUUAUGCCGUCCGAGUUGUAAUCUGGAGAAGCGUUUUCCGUGUUGGACCGUGUACAAGUCUCUUGGAACAGAGCGUCAUAGAGGGUGAGAAUCCCGUCUUUGACACGGACUACCAAUGCUUUGUGAUACGCUCUCAAAGAGUCGAGUUGUUUGGGAAUGCAGCUCAAAAUGGGUGGUAAAUGCCAUCUAAAGCUAAAUAUUGGCGAGAGACCGAUAGCGAACAAGUACCGUGAGGGAAAGAUGAAAAGCACUUUGGAAAGAGAGUUAAACAGUACGUGAAAUUGUUGAAAGGGAAACGCUUGAAGUCAGUCGCGUUGUCUGGGACUCAGCCUUGCUUCUGCAUGGUGUAUUUCCUGGUUAACGGGCCAACAUCGAUUUUGGUCGGUGGAUAAAGUCGAGAGGAAUGUGGCACCUUCGGGUGUGUUAUAGCCUCUYGUCGGAUGCAUCGACUGGGAUCGAGGAUCGCAGCACGCCUUUUUGGCCGGGGUUCGCCCACGUAACGUGCUUAGGAUGUUGGCAUAAUGGCUUUAAUCGACCCGUCUUGAAACACGGACCAAGGAGUCUAACAUGCCCGCGAGUGUUAGGGUGGAAAACCCUUGCGCGUAAUGAAAGUGAAAGUUGGGACCUCUGUCAUGGGGGGCACCGACGCCCGGCCUUGAACUUCUGUGACGGCGCCGCGGUAGAGCGUGUAUGUUGGGACCCGAAAGAUGGUGAACUAUGCCUGAAUAGGGCGAAGCCAGAGGAAACUCUGGUGGAGGCUCGUAGCGAUUCUGACGUGCAAAUCGAUCGUCAAAUUUGGGUAUAGGGGCGAAAGACUAAUCGAACCAUCUAGUAGCUGGUU